AGUGAACGCUGGCGGUAGGCCUAACACAUGCAAGUCGAACGGAAGCACAGUAAGAGCUUGCUCUUACGGGUGGCGAGUGGCGGACGGGUGAGGAAUACAUCGGAAUCUACUUUUUCGUGGGGGAUAAGGUAGGGAAACUUACGCUAAUACCGCAUACGACCUACGGGUGAAAGCAGGGGAUCGUCGGAGCUGGCGCGAUUGAAUGAGCCGAUGUCGGAUUAGCUAGUUGGCGGGGUAAAGGCCCACCAAGGCGACGAUCCGUAGCUGGUCUGAGAGGAUGAUCAGCCACACUGGAACUGAGACACGGUCCAGACUCCUACGGGAGGCAGCAGUGGGGAAUAUUGGACAAUGGGCGCAAGCCUGAUCCAGCCAUACCGCGUGGGUGAAGAAGGCCUUCGGGUUGUAAAGCCCUUUUGUUGGGAAAGAAAAGCAGCAGGUUAAUACCCCGCUGUUCUGACGGUACCCAAAGAAUAAGCACCGGCUAACUUCGUGC
rnacentral:rRNA from 1 species